UACAGAGGGGGCAAGCGUUAUUCGGAAUUAUUGGGCGUAAAGGGCGCGUAGGCGGCUUUUCAAGUGGCGGGUGAAAGCCCUCGGCUUAACCGAGGAACUGCCUGCCAGACUGGAUCGCUUGAGACCGGGAGAGGUGAGUGGAAUUCCCAGUGUAGCGGUGAAAUGCGUAGAUAUUGGGAGGAACACCAGUGGCGAAGGCGGCUCACUGGUCCGGUACUGACGCUGAGGUGCGAAAGCGUGGGGAGCAAACAGG
rnacentral:rRNA from 1 species